UACGUAGGGGGCAAGCGUUGUCCGGAAUCAUUGGGCGUAAAGCGCGUGUAGGCGGCUUGGUAAGUCCGCUGUGAAAGUCCAGGGCUCAACCCUGGAAUGCCGGUGGAUACUGCCGGGCUAGAGUCCGGAAGAGGCGAGUGGAAUUCCUGGUGUAGCGGUGGAAUGCGCAGAUAUCAGGAGGAACACCAAUUGCGAAGGCAGCUCGCUGGGACGUAACUGACGCUGAGACGCGAAAGCGUGGGGAGCAAACAGG
rnacentral:rRNA from 1 species